rnacentral:rRNA from 1 species
AUUGAACGCUGGCGGCAGGCCUAACACAUGCAAGUCGAACGAGUGGCGGACGGGUGAGUAAUGUCUGGGAAACUGCCUGAUGGAGGGGGAUAACUCCUGGAAACGGUAGCUAAUACCGCAUCACAUCGGGUGUGCCCAGAUGGGAUUAGCUAGUAGGUGGGGUAACGGCUCACCUAGGCGAAGAUCCCUAGCUGGUCUGAGAGGAUGACAAGCCACACUGGAACGGAGACACGGUCCAGACGCCUACGGGAGGCAGCAGUGGGGAAUAUUGCACAAGGGGCGCAAGCCUGAGGCAGCCAUGCCGCGUGUAUGAAGAAGGCCUUCGGGUUGUAAAGUACUUUCAGCGGGGAGGCUUUACCCGCAGAAGAAGCACCGGCUAACUCCGUGCCAGCAGCCGCGGUAAUUC